rnacentral:lncRNA from 1 species
GGAGGCAGAGGUUGCAGUGAGCCAAGAUCGCGCUACUGCACUCCAGCCUGGGUGACCGAGAUUCCGUCUCAAAAAAAAAAAAAAAAAAAAAGUAAAAGGAAUUUAUAUUUGAUAGAAAGCAUGUGUUGUAAGAAAAUAAACUGUAAUGGACACACCAGCUCAAAAGUGAUUAACUGUAACGUAUAAUUUCACUACUAUAGAAGUGGCAUAAAUCACUUGUUAGUGUUAGAUUUCUCCCUAUGAGGCUGUAUGAGAAAAUAAAGUUGUGAUUCGAACAGAUUCAGUGCUAAUACUGAUGUGGGGCAUGUUCCUUUUACAUUCCUCUUCCUUCUUGUUGAGUCAGCAAUAAUCAAUACUGCAUUUUGAAUUCUCAAAUCACCUUAAGUCAAAAAUUAUUUCCUCUCAGGGAUUCCCAUGAAAUAUUUUUGGGACCAGUAUUUUCACUUUUUAAUUUUAACCAGGCUGAAUCAAAGGUAGCUCAUAGCUUUACUUCAUAAUAGAAUGAAUUCACCACAAAAUAUUUUAAAUCAUUCCCUUUGACUAACAUUUAGGUGCCUUGCAAUAGUUGCUAUAAUAAACAAUGCUGGGGCCCAGCCCUGGUGGCUCGCACCUGUAAUCCCAAUGCUUUGGGAGGCUGAGGUGGGACGAUCACUUGAAGCCAAGAGUUCCAGACCAGCCUGGGCAACAUAGGAAUAAAAUAAAAUAAGUAAACAAUGCUGGAAUGAACAUCCUUCUACAUAUAUCUUUAUUAACACGAGCAAAUAUUUAUGAUUAAUUCUCAGAUAUGAAUUCUCGGUCAAAAGGUGAGACAUUUUAAAACUUGAUAGAUAUAACGGUAAUAUAUCCUCGCCUACAUUGAUUAUAAAUAUUUUUUAUAUUUUUCGAGAUAGGUUCUUGCUGUCACUCAGGCUGGGCUGGAGUGCAAUGGCGCCAUCUAGGCUCGCUGCAAGCGCCACUCCCGGGCUCAAGCCAUCCUCCCACCUCAGCCUCCCGAGUAGCUGGGACUACAGGCAGGGUCACCAUGCCUGGCUUUUUUUUUUUUUUUGAAAUGGGGUUUUGCCAUGUUGCCACUGCUGGUCUGGAAGUCAUGGCCUGAAGCCAUCCACCCUCCUCAGCCUCCCAAAGUGCUGCGAUUACAGGCACGAGGCACCACUCCCAUCUUUUUUUUUUUUUUUUUUUUGAGACACGGGAGUCUUGCUCUGUCACCCAGGCUGAAGUGCAGUGGCGCCACCUGGGCUCACUGCAACCUCUGUCUCCUGGGUUCAAGCGAUCCUCCCACCUCAGUCUUCUGAGUUGCUGGGAUUACAGGCACACGCCACAACACCCAGCCAAUUUUUUUUUUUUUUUUUUUUUUUUUGAGACCGGGUUUCCCUAUGUUGCCCAGGCUAGUUUCAAACUCCUGGGCUCUACCUCGUCUUGUACUACAGUGAGACCCUGUCUCAAUAAAAAGAAAUUUUUUUUAAGCCUUUCUGGAUUAGAUUUAAUUUGUAGAAAAAAAUGGCAUGGUCAUCUGUACAUUGAUCCCAUCCAAUUAUAUUUUCCUUAUAAUUCAUCUCUUCUUUAGCAAAAUGUGUUUUAUUCAUACAUAUCUUGAGUAUUUCUGUUAAAUGUAUACCUGGGUAGUUUACAUCUAUCACAUUUUGAUUUGUGUGUGUGUGUGGUGAAUAAGGAAACUAAUAUUAAAUAAUUUUGCAUAUUUAUCUUGAACUUUGUCACCUUACUGAACUCUCCUAGCAGUUUUUCAGUUUCUGGGAUGUAUUUUCUAGGUGGACUAUCUUACACUUUGUGAAUAACAUUCAAUCUCUCCAUGAGGUAAACUAUCUUACAUUCAGUCUCUUCCAUUCCCAGUACUUGUAUCAUUUGCUAAGCCCCAGAGAACAAUGUUGUAGAAUUGUAGUAGUAGCUGACAUUCUUCAGGCCUUAAUGAGAACAGAGGUGAUGAAUUCUGAUAUAAUGCAAAUUAUUGCUUCUCACGCUCUGAACUGCAUCCUAGUUAUUUCAUCAACCUCACAAUAACCCAUUUUACCCAAAUGAAAUAUUUACCUCACCUAUCACAUUAUUUUUAAUACACUGCUGGAUUUAUUACAUUUUAGUAUGGACUUUGUAUCUUUUUGUGAGAAUGGUCUCUGGUUUUUCUGGUGUUUUGUUGUUGUUUUUGUGUAGUAUUCUCUCCCAAGUUUGAGUAGUGAGAACAGAAUACUUUUUUUUUUUUUGAGUCUCGCUGCAACGCCCAGGCUGGAGUGCAGUGGCACAAUCUCGGCUCACUGCAACCUCCACUUCCCAGGUUCAAGCAAUUCUCCUGCCUCAGCUUCCUAAAUAGCUGAGACUACAGGCAUGUGUCACCACAACCGGCUGAGUUUUCUAUUUUUAGUAGAGACGGGGUUUUACCAUAUUGGCCAGGCUGGUCUCAAAACUCCUGAUCUCAAGUGAUCCACCCACCUUGGCCUCCCAAAGUACUGGGAUUACAGGCGUGAGCCUCCACGCCCGGCCAGCAGAGGUAAUUUAUUAUUUUUUUGAGAUGGAGUCUCACUCUGUCACUCAGGCUGGAGUGCAGUGGCACAAUCUCAGCUCACUGCAACUUCCAACUCCCAGGUUCAAGCGAUUCUCCUGCCUCAGCCUCCUGAGUAGCUGGGACUACAGGCGCAUGCCACCACACCCAGCUAAUUUUUGUAUUUUUAGUAAAGACGGCAUUUCGCCAUGUUGGCCAGGCUGGUCUCAAACUCCUGACCUCAGGUAAUCCACCCGCCUCGGCCUCUCAAAGUGCUGGGAUUGCACGUGUGAGCCACCGUGCCCGGCCCAGCAGAGGUACUUUCUGAAUCACCUGUUUCAUGGUUAUUAAUCUUUUAAGGGUAUCUGCUUCAUUUUAGGUAAUUAAAAUUUUUAAAAUACUAUUUCCAAAAAGUACCCAUUUCACUGGAAUCAUCACCCUAUCAAGUUUUUCUAGAAAUGGGAUUUGUUUUAUGAGUGCAGUUAUUUGCAUAUCCUUAUUAGAAUAAAAGUCACGUUGCCUCUGCAAAAACAAGCACACACAGGCAUCCUCUUUGGAAGUCAGAUAUGAGACCGAGAGCUUUCCAGGUCGGCUUCAAAACCACCUGGAAGAUGUCACAGCUAGUCUGUCUUCAUGCCCCCCGUUUCUGUGAGGCUAACUUUUACACCUUACUAUCACAGAGUUGUAUGUAGUAUUCUCUAAAAAACAGGGACUCUGGCUAUCGUGUUGAGAACAGACUGCAGCAGGGCAAGUGCAGAAGCAGGACAGUUAGAAGGCUAGUCCAGGUGAGAGUCACUGAUGGCUUUGACUAAGGUGGUAGCAGUGGAAGUGAUCAGAACUAAAAAGAUUUUGAAAAUAUCUUGACAGUAGAGCCAAGAGGAUUUACAUAUGCAAUAUACUUUUUUUUUUUUUUUUGAGAUGGAGUCUUGUUCUUGUCACCCAGGCUGGAGUGCAAUGGUGUGACCUCAGCUCACUGCAACCUCCACCUCCUGGGUUCAAGCGAUUCCCCUGCCUCAGCCUCCAGAGUAGCUGGGAUUACAGGCACCUGCCACCACACCCGGCUAACUUUUGUAUUUUUAGUAGAGACAGGGUUUCGCCAUGUUGGCCAGGCUGGUCUCGAACUCCUGACCUCAUGAUCCGCCCACCUCAGCCUCCCAAAGUGCUGGGAUUACAGGCGUGAGCCACCACACCUGGCUGUAAUGUACUUUCAUGAGAAACAUUACAGGCACAUUCUCAACUAGGUACAUCUCUUGCUAAGAAUCACUGCUCUGGCUUCAAGUUCUAUUAAAAUAAGGUCCAUUUACUUCCUAUCUGUAUAUGCCCAUUACACUCAGUACAGUGCUUUACAAAUUUGCUAAUUCAUGUGGAUGUCUGAAAUUAAUUAUAAUAGAAUUCUGGUUUCAAAUCUUACAUGAGAUUAAUUACAAUGUCUAUAUUUUAAGUCUUAUUCCAAAAUUUCUGGUAGAAGGUACCUACAAAACACAUGGGGACAUGUUAGAUAUAAAAUUAGUUUGAUUUAGAAUUGUUUUAUUUGUGUUCCUCAUGCUACAACACAACCUUCAAAGUCAGCGAAGUUUAUAACAUUAAUAUGCUUCCUCAAAACAUCAAUUUAGGCAACCCAUAGCCAGAGCUUCUAAACUUCUACAAUGCAACUUCAACAUUCACAAGAGCACAAUAUGCUUCAAAUCCCAUCUCAAUGCAAAUUUAAGAAAAGCAAAGCAAAUUGUAUUAUCAGUCUACCAAAACUCAGUAAGAUUCUGUAAUUUAAUAUACCUACUUCUCAACUCUCUAAAUUUGUUUCUCAACACUGGGGAGUUUUUAAAGAUAUCAAUGCCUGAAUUCUACUCCAAGCCAAUUAAAUCAGAACAAUUAAAAUCAGAAUCUCUGUGGGGCAUCUUUUUUUUUUUUAAAGCUUCCCCAGCAACGUCAGCAAGAGUUGCAAAUCACUGCUCAACAGAACCUCUUACGAAGCAAAAACAUAAAGAAAAAUAAGCCGGGCAGAGUGGCUCACGCCUGUAAUCCCAGCACUUUGGAAGGCAGAGGCGGGCGGAUCACCUGAGGUUAGGAGUUCAAGACCAGCCUGGGCAACAUGGUGAAACCCCAUCUCUACUAAAAAUACAAAAAUUAGCCGGGUAUGGUGGCAAGUGCCUGUAAUAUCAGCUACAUGGGAGGCUGAAGCACGAGAAUCACUUGAAUCAGGGAGGCAGAGGUUGCAGCGAGCCAAGAUCGUGCCACUGUACUCUAGCCUAGGUGACGGAGUGAGCCUCCGUCUCAAAAAAAAAAAGGAAAAGCACACGAAGUAUAGGGACAUGGGGAAUAAGUUAAAAAUCAAAAGGACUCACUCAUUGCUUUCUAACAUCUUUUACUUCUUGACCUUUUGAAACAUCCAAAAAUUAGUAGUAGUAUAAUCUAUGUCACAAUCAUAAUAUAACAGUUAAGAAAAAACAUAAAAUAUGGGGCCACAUAAAAGGGAGAAGGUCUUCAAGGAGAAUUUGUGCC